rnacentral:rRNA from 1 species
ACAGGUCUUCGGAUGCUGACGAGUGGCGAACGGGUGAGUAAUACAUCGGAACGUGCCCGAGAGUGGGGGAUAACGAGGCGAAAGCUUUGCUAAUACCGCAUACGAUCUACGGAUGAAAGCAGGGGACCGCAAGGCCUUGCGCUCAUGGAGCGGCCGAUGGCAGAUUAGGUAGUUGGUGGGAUAAAAGCUUACCAAGCCGACGAUCUGUAGCUGGUCUGAGAGGAUGAUCAGCCACACUGGGACUGAGACACGGCCCAGACUCCUACGGGAGGCAGCAGUGGGGAAUUUUGGACAAUGGGCGAAAGCCUGAUCCAGCCAUGCCGCGUGCAGGAUGAAGGCCUUCGGGUUGUAAACUGCUUUUGUACGGAACGAAAAGACUCUUUCUAAUAAAGAGGGUCCAUGACGGUACCGUAAGAAUAAGCACCGGCUAACUACGUGCCAGCAGCCGCGGUAAUACGUAGGGUGCAAGCGUUAAUCGGAAUUACUGGGCGUAAAGCGUGCGCAGGCGGUUAUGUAAGACAGAUGUGAAAUCCCCGGGCUCAACCUGGGAACUGCAUUUGUGACUGCAUA